UACGUAGGGUGCAGGCGUUAAUCGGAAUUACUGGGCGUAAAGCGUGCGCAGGCGGGUUGCUAAGGCAGGUGUGAAAUCCCCGGGCUUAACCUGGGAACUGCGCUUGUAACUGGCAAGCUUGAGUGUGGCAGAGGGGGGUGGAAUUCCACGUGUAGCAGUGAAAUGCGUAGAGAUGUGGAGGAACACCGAUGGCGGAGGCAGCCCCCUGGGUCGAUACUGACGCUCAUGCACAAAAGCGUGGGGAGCAAACAGG
rnacentral:rRNA from 1 species